UCUGUCUGUCUGAUUUUGUCUCGUUCUGCCUUAUUCUGUCUGUUCUGUGAGCGCUCAGCCAGGUCUGUUCUGUGAGCGCUCAGCCAGGUCUGUUCUGUGAGCGCUCAGCCAGGUUGUUUGGAAUUUGGGCGGGACGAAGAAGGAGCUGACGAGCUCGGACUUCUCGCCCCGCAACCCUGGAAGACGUUCCAAGGGUGUUAGGGGCCCGACUUUUCGGGGCCCAAUCUGGGAGAGGAGAAAGAUCCGGACUAACGGCACUUCUGUCUGUAUUUUUGGCUUUCAGAGGGCCCCGGACCUUUGCCACCUCCAUCUGACUUUUGCUUUCAGUUUGGUACCAAAGCCGUGCAGCACGCCUGUCUGUUGUUUGUUUGACUGUUGGUGUUGUUUGUUUUCUCUGUGUUCUAAUCUUCCUUAGAACUAACAUGGGACAGUCCCUAACAAUGCCCCUAAGUCUCACUCUUGAUCAUUAGAAAGACGUCCACGACCGGGCACACAACCAGUCCGUCGAGGUUAAAAAAAGAAAAAUGACAGACUCUCUACACAUCCGAGUGGCCCACUUUCGGAGCGGGAUGGCCAGUAAAUGACACAUUUAAUAAGAUCAUUAUUUUACAGGUUAAAGAUCGGGUCGUCCACGGACAUCCUGACCAGGUUUCUUAUAUUAUCACUUGAGAGAGUCUCGCCUUAAACCCCCCCCCCCCGGGCGGAACCCUUCCUGGACCCGAAUUGGCCUCCCCUCAACCCCCAGCCUGUCCCCUCGGCCCCGCCCGGUCCGCCGGCCACGUCUUUCUCUCUCUACCUUUGUGAACUAAGAAACCUGUCCUCCCGGCAGACCCAAACUCCCCUCUCAUAAAUCUUCUCUCUGACAGGCCCGGCUAAAACGGAGGAGGCAGAGCCGCCGGCCAGAUCAGUUGCCGGGCCACAGUCUGAUAAGGGUUUCUCCCCUGUCGCAGGGAGAUUGCGCAAUAAGCGCGAGGUGAUGCCAGAUUCAACCUCCCAGGCUUUCCCACUUAGACAGGGAACCGGUGGCCAGACCCAAUACUGGCCGUUUUCAACAGCUGACAUUUACAAUUGGAAACAACACAACCCUUCUUUCUCCAAAGAUCCGGUGGCACUCACCGACCUAAUAGAAUCUGUUUUACUUACCCACCAGCCUACUUGGGAUGACUGCCAACAGCUCUUACAGGCCCUCUUAACCUCAGAAAAAAAACAAAGAGUGUUCCUAGAGGCCAGAAAGCAUGUUCUGGGAGAUGAUGGGCGUCCCACCCAGCUGCCUGAGGACCAAACUGGGAUUUUAAUACAGCUAAAGGUAAGGGACACCUACGCCUUUAUCGCCAGUUGCUUCUAGCGGGUCUCCGAGGGGCUAUACGACGCCCUACUAAUUUGGCUCAGGUAAAACAGGUAUUACAGGAAGCAGGGGAAACUCCCUCCGCCUUUCUAGAGAGACUUAAGGAGGCCUACCGUAUGUACACUCCCUAUGAUCCAGAUGACCCAGGACAAAUGACGAGUGUCUCUAUGUCCUUCAUCUGACAGGCUGCUCCAGAUAUCAAGACUAAGUUACAGAGGUUAAAAAAAUUUACAGGGCUAUACAUUACAAGAUUUACUUAAAGAAGCUGAAAAGAUUUUUAAUAAGAGAGAGAAUUGAGUCGAAUCUUGGCCAACGUAGUUCAGGGCCAAAAAAGGAAGGGAGAUAGGGGGGAGCUCGAAAGGGGCUGAAGCUGGAUAAAGAUCAAUGUGCCUAUUACAAAGAGAAAGGACACUGGGCCAGAGAGUGCCCCAAGAAGCCUGGCGGACCCCGAAAGCCUCGACCACGAACCUCCCUCUUGGCUCUAGAUAAAGAUUAGGGAGGUCAGGGCCAGGAGCCCCCCCUGAGCCCAGGGUAACGCUUAAAGUUGGGGGGCAGCCGGUUGCUUUCCUGAUAGACACAGGAGCCCAGCAUUCAGUCCUCACUCAAGCUUCAGGACAACUCAGCGACCAGAUGGCCUGGGUACAAGGAGCUACUGGUGAGAAACAAUACCGAUGGACUACGGACCGCCGGGUUCAGCUGGCUACUGGUAAGGUGACCCAUUCCUUCUUACAUGUUCCGGACGCCCGUACCCUCUGCUGGGCCGUGACCUGCUCACCAAACUAAAAGCACAAAUUCAUUUUGAGGAAAGAGGGGCCCAAAUAACUGGCCCCCACGGAACUCCCCUUCAAGUUCUAACCCUAUGAACCGGGACAGGACACUGGCUUGGGCAGAGACUGGUGGGAUGGGGUUGGCACUCCAACAGCCCCCCUUAAUUAUACAGUUAAAGGCCACUACAACUCCAGUCUCCAUAAAACAAUACCCCCUGUCACAUGAAGCUUAUCAAGGUAUAAGGCCUCACAUUACAAGGCUUCUAGAUCAAGACAUCCUAGUCCCCUGCCGGUCGCCUUAAAAUACGCCUCUUCUGCCUGUUAAGAAACCCGACACUGGAGAUUAUAGGCCAGUACAAGACUUGAAAAAGGUCAACAAGAGGAUAGAAGAUAUUCAUCCGACUGUUCCAAACCCUUACAAUUUGCUCAGUAACUGUUCAUCGAUGAGAAACAGGGGUAUGCUAAAGGGGUCCUAACACAAAGGUUGGGACUCUGAAAACGCCCUGUGGCCUACCUGUCUAAGAAAUUGGACCCUGUGGCCUCCGGCUGGCCACCGUGCCUAAAGAUGGUGGCUGCUAUUGCUGUUCUGAUCAAGGACGCUGGAAAAUUGACUUUGGGACAGCCACUCACCCUCCUAGCACCCCACGCAGUGGAGGCCUUGGUAAAACAGCCCCCAGACCGCUGGCUCUCUAAUUCCCACAUGACCCACUACCAAGCCUUGUUACUGGAUGCAGAACGGGUUCAGUUUGGGCCCGUAGUCGCCCUCAAUCUUGCCACCUUGCUUCCUCUACCAGAGGAGGCAGAACAGCAUGACUGACUACAAAUCCUCGCAGAAGUACAUAGAACCAGGCCGGACCUAUCGGACCAGCCUCUUCAGAAUGCUGACCACACAUGGUACACGGAUGACAACAGCUUCUUGGCAGAGGGAGAGCGAAAGGCUGGAGCUGCGGUCACUAUGGAGGACAAAGUGAUUUGGGCGAAAGCCCUGCCUGCUAAUACCUCCGCACAACGGGCUGAACUCAUCGCCUUGACUCAGGCGCUCAAGAUGACAAAAGCCCUUCUCUGAGGGCCCAUUUACAGGCCCUACAGAUUGUGCAGAGAGACGUCUGGAGACCUUUGGCCGCUGCUUACCAGGACAAGCUUGAACAUCCGGUGGUGCCACACCCGUUCCAGAUUGGAGACACCGUGUGGGUGCGCAGACACCAGACCAAAAAUCUCGAGCCACGGUGGAAAAGACCCUACACCGUCCUCCUGACUACCCCGACCGCCCUAAAGGUAGACGGAGUCGCGGCUUAGAUCCAUGCACCACACAUCAAGGCAGUCCGGUCUGAGAAAUUGACUAAUCACAACACUACACCCCAGACAUGGAGAGUUCAGUACACUCCAAACCCCUUAAAGUUAAAACUCCUACGUGGCUCCUCCUAGCCCUUUUGUGGCCUAGAGUCAGUGGGGAAAUAAGCCCCCACCAGACAGAAAUUUCUUGACCAAGUCGAGUGAAAGAUUUCACUCAAAGUUAACAAAAAAAAAAAAUGGGGGAAUGAAAGACCCCAGCUUAACAGCAGUAACGCCAUUUUACAAGGCUGUACUUAAGAUGACUGGUUCAGAGAAAGGUUAGAACACUGAGUACACAGCGGCUGCCAAACAAGAUGUGUUUGGUUGAAGGCCUGGCAACAGGACGACUUCGGUUGAGCACCUGACAAUGAAAAAAAGCCCCGGGAGAGGUCCCACACCCUUAUGUUCCAAGAAGGUAGCUAAGAAACUUGCCCCCGGGCUGAACCCUUGGGGGGCCGAGUCAGCCGUUAUGUUUCAGAAAGGUAGCUAGGAAACUUGCCCCCAGGCUAAACCCUUGCCAUAUUAGAAUCCACCAAUUAUGUCCCUGUAACCAUACAUCUGCUUCUGUAUGCUUGCUUCUGCUCCCCAAAAUCCUAUAAAAGCCCAUCCUUGGUUCUGUGGGGUGCGCCAGUCCCCCGAGUGACUGAAGCGCCCACAGGUGCCUGUGCCUGUGUAUCCCGACAAUAAACCAAAUCCUCUUGCUGAUUGCAUCCUGUGGUGUCUCGGUCUGGUCUUUAGAGUUAGAGGGUCUCCAUCCCGAGGGAAAG